rnacentral:rRNA from 1 species
GGGCGUAAGGGCACGUAGGCGGUGAAUCGGGUUGAAAGUGAAAGUCGCCAAAAACUGGCGGAAUGCUCUCGAAACCAAUUCACUUGAGUGAGACAGAGGAGAGUGGAAUUUCGUGUGUAGGGGUGAAAUCCGGAGAUCUACGAAGGAACGCCAAAAGCGAAGGCAGCUCUCUGGGUCCCUACCGACGCUGGAGUGCGAAAGCAUGGGGAGCGAACGGGAUUAGAUACCCUGGGUAGUCCAA